rnacentral:rRNA from 1 species
UACGGAGGGUGCGAGCGUUGUCCGGAAUCACUGGGCGUAAAGGGCGCGUAGGCGGCUUCUCAAGCGUGUGGUGAAAGUCCGGGGCUCAACCCCGGAUCGGCCGUGCGGACUGGGGAGCUCGAGUUCUGUAGAGGCGGGUGGAAUUCCGGGUGUAGCGGUGGAAUGCGUAGAGAUCCGGAAGAACACCGGUGGCGAAGGCGGUCUGCUGGGGUAAUGCUGACACUGAUGCGCGACAGCGUGGGGAGCAAACAGG